GCAAGCUCCGCUCCACCCACGGCCUGUCACAGUCCCCCCCCCCCGCGUCGCGCGAAGAAGCGGCAGGCACGCGGUGCAGCAGUGCUGCCGACUCAGCUAUCUGAGCACGGCCAUCUGCCCUCGAGCUCUACCCCACCCACCCGCCGCCUCGCCGGUCGCCAGCUGGUGCCUCCCUCCCUUCUUGGAAUGGGCGCGGGCGCCGCUGCCCCCGCCCUCCCCCCGCCCGCACACCAGUGGGCGGUGUAGGGGCCCGGGCGGGUUACUCUCGAGACGCGGUGACACGCUGCCGAACCAUAUGGAUGGCACACGCGUGUUCACUGUCGCCGGUCGCCCCGACGCAACGCCCGGCCAGGACCCGACCAACUACAUCAGCAGCGAUACGUCGCCCGGACCUCCAGCACGGCGCCGGCGCCGGCGACCCUGUCACCACCACAGGUGGUUCGGCACUUGGCCAGCAAUAGGGUGGCCUCCCGGCUUCUCCAGAGAGAGAGAGGGCGGGGGUACUGGGCCCUGCGGCACCACGCAUGGAGGCCUCCCUCAUCAUUGGGCGUGGGGAUUAUCGUUCGCGGGAAGGGAGCAAAGUUUCGAGAUGUCAGCUACCCUCUGGUGCUUUCAGGUUGCAGCCGAUGCACACACGGCUGUCGUAACAGAUGUCGUAGAUCGCCACUUUCUUCUCUCUUUGCUCUUAUGCGGACCUGCGUAUCUCCUACUGAUGCCCCACGGAAAAG
rnacentral:misc_RNA from 1 species